GGGAGCUACUGACUUCGGGGGACGAUAACGGCGUCGAGCGGCGGACGGGUGAGUAAUGCCUAGGAAAUUGCCCUGAUGUGGGGGAUAACCAUUGGAAACGAUGGCUAAUACCGCAUAAUGCCUACGGGCCAAAGAGGGGGACCUUCGGGCCUCUCGCGUCAGGAUAUGCCUAGGUGGGAUUAGCUAGUUGGUGAGGUAAUGGCUCACCAAGGCGACGAUCCCUAGCUGGUCUGAGAGGAUGAUCAGCCACACUGGAACUGAGACACGGUCCAGACUCCUACGGGAGGCAGCAGUGGGGAAUAUUGCACAAUGGGCGCAAGCCUGAUGCAGCCAUGCCGCGUGUGUGAAGAAGGCCUUCGGGUUGUAAAGCACUUUCAGUCGUGAGGAAGGUGGUGUAGUUAAUAGCUGCAUUACUUGACGUUAGCGACAGAAGAAGCACCGGCUAACUCCGUGCCAGCACCGGCCGGUAAUGA
rnacentral:rRNA from 1 species